AGGCUCUAGCCUAGCCCAUGCUCAAAUCCAUCACUACUUGACAUAACUAGAAUUGUGCUGUUUAGAUUUUGUUUGUAAAUACUCUGACGUUUUUUUAAAGGCAGCAGUUCAUGUCAUUAUGCUUGGUUCUGCAUUGAGUCUGAGAUAGACCAGAACAUGAUCACUUAGAAGUUAGAAACAUGCAAGUUGUAGGUGUACUAUAGUACAAUCAUCUUGUAUAUGAGCCAGAAGCCAAAUGAUGCAAGUAUGUACUGGUCAAAACUUGCUACUAUUUAGUUGCAUUCAAAGUGAACAGAUCUGAGAGUAUAUGUCUACACUAAGCGACACCAUUGAAAGCCGACUCAAAGCCGACUCAUUCAUGAUUCAUAACAAACAUUCAGCACAUAUCAAGAUGAAACAGAAAGAAGAAGAAAACUUUGAGCAAUAGGAAGGUAAUCUAUAAUUGCAAGGUAAAGGAAUUUAUCUGCUGAAAGUCCCCUUUAUGAAGGUUCUUGGGAGACGUGACCUUGACAGCCCACCCUUAUGUUUUUCCCCCCUUCUUUUCUUUUGUUUUGUUUUGUUAAAGUAGCUGCCAUUAAGAUUUGUGGAUUGUGAUUCACAACCCUACCCUAAGACUAUCUAGAGUUUGUCUAAGUUUUUUAAUGGAUAGUUAUUCAAAACAUUGCUCAUGGUUUCUCAAUCUCAAAAGUCAAUCACAUGAAUCAAAAUACUUAAAACACAACAUGCAUAACAGCUAAUGAGUACAGCAUAACAAUUCUUUGUUACUAAUAUAAAAAAAGAAACAAGCUGUAGAAAUUCAAACCUGGAUGGAGGUAAGUAUAGCAGCAACAUCAUAUAUCGGACUCCACUGAUUUUGUAAGAUGUCCAAGCAUAUACUUCCAUCUGCAUAAACUGGUGAUACCAAUUGAAACAAAGUCAGACAAUCCAGACAAUUGCCAAUACUCCAAAAAGAAGAAGACAAUCUUUAUGAAGAAAAGUCACAUGCUAGUUGAUUUCGAAAAAGCAAGAGAAAAUUACAUGUCAAAAAGAAACAAUGUAAGGAACCAGUUCACUGAUUUACUAAUGCAAGUAAAUAUACAAGUAAAAUAUCAACAUACUGUUUGGAUGAAACAUCCGUGAAACAAAUCGGACUGUUGGAGGUUUAUUCGGAUAAUCCUCCGUGAAUUGAAGAGUCAACUUAAACGUCCCUGAAGAAGAUUGAGAAGAAGUUAGACACCAUAAGAGAAUGCUAUAAGCCAAACGGUAUGCACAUAAAAUGUGUGGCUGAACACACACCCAGUUACUGGGGUAUGUAUAUAUCCAAAGGUCAAAAGAGCCCACAUCCCAGAAGUGAUUAAUUGUAAUAAACACAUCACUGUUUAACAAAAAAACAUGAGAAAAAGACAUCGACGACAGCCUAUUCCCACUUGCUUGAUCAUGCGAUUACAUUAAAAUAUUUGUUGAUACACAUGAAUCAAGUGGGUGCCUUUAUAUUUCAUCACUCAUCCAAAUCUUUCUCCUUCCCCUUCAUUCCAUUACUCCACUUGCUAACCAACCAGAAGGAUGGGUACCUUUCAGCUUCCUUCCACUAAUUUUUUUAUCUCCAAACUAAACACAGCGAAACAUAUUUACAUAACUUCCAAAAUCUAUUACUUUCCGAUAUUCCACAUCAAAAUAUUUGAAGAUUAGGAGUAGUAGUCAUAGUGUCCAGGGUGUGUGUCCUUGUUCAGUAUCUACCCUAUCUUAAUCAUGAUCGAGACUCUUAAAAUUGCAGGACUUAAAUAUGUCCAACAAUAAAAAUAAUAAAUGUAAUCAAUCAAUAUACAACCAUAACCCAUCGUCCCAAUAACACGAAACAAAACAAAACAAAAAAGGGGUAAUAUAAAAAAGAUUAGAUAUACUGAAGAAAAGGGAAGAAUCAGAAUUACCCACCUCCAUCCCAUGGAGUAUCAUCAGGUCUACGAAUAAAA
rnacentral:lncRNA from 1 species